GACGAACGCUGGCGGCGUGCUUAACACAUGCAAGUCGAACGGAAAGGCCCUGCUUUUGUGGGGUGCUCGAGUGGCGAACGGGUGAGUAACACGUGAGUAACCUGCCCUUGACUUUGGGAUAACUUCAGGAAACUGGGGCUAAUACCGGAUAGGAGCUCCUGCUGCAUGGUGGGGGUUGGAAAGUUUCGGCGGUUGGGGCUGGACUCGCGGCUUAUCAGCUUGUUGGUGGGGUAGUGGCUUACCAAGGCUUUGACGGGUAGCCGGCCUGAGAGGGUGACCGGCCACAUUGGGACUGAGAUACGGCCCAGACUCCUACGGGAGGCAGCAGUGGGGAAUAUUGCACAAUGGGCGGAAGCCUGAUGCAGCAACGCCGCGGGCGGGAUGACGGCCUUAGGGUUGUAAACCGCUUUCGCCUGUGACGAAGCGUGAGUGACGGUAAUGUGUAAAGAAGCACCGGCUAACUACGUG
rnacentral:rRNA from 1 species